rnacentral:rRNA from 1 species
ACAGUGGACGCGAGCAUCUGUGGCCAAGUUUUUAAGGGCGCACGGUGGAUGCCUUGGCACCAGGAACCGAUGAAGGACGUGGGAGGCCACGAUAGGCCCCGGGGAGUCGUCAACCAGGCUUUGAUCCGGGGGUGUCCGAAUGGGGAAACCCGGCAGUCGUCAUGGGCUGUCACCCGCUGCUGAAC